UCAAGAGCGGAGUGUGUGAGUGCACACACAAAAGAGAGAGAACAGACGAUAGAAAGAGAGAGCGGUUCUAUUCUGGUUAAUUUGUCUCCUCCAGACACCCAGGACUCCUCUGGCUCUCUCUACCCCGGCAGGGUGCUUGUUGAUGGUGUAACACUAGAUCAGCUCAGCCUCCCUCCUUUGGGAACUCUGGAGCUCCCUCUCUCACCUUCUGUGUUUGCUCUCCACCGACUGGCUGACUUUCUUUAUUUGGAGUGUGUGAGAGUGUGUUUUACUCGGCAGGAUUAGGCAGUCUGUACGCACUCUGGUACAAGCUGGUACGGUGGAGGGCGUUUCGUUCGUGAGUGUGUUGUUCGCCUCUCGCCCUGCGAGCCACACUUGAGUCUCUCAUACACGCUUCGGAUCUAACGGAACACGCACCUACUGUUCCCAAGGAUUUGGGAUAUGUGUAUAAAGGUUUAGCCUUCUCUGAAUUGUGGAUACAGAGAGGACUACACAUUGCAACUUCACUGAGCAGGUGAGAGAGACGUAACACUGCUUUCACCGGUUAUCCACAUGGACUGAGGUUGAGAGAGGGAGGAUUUCCCUCUUGUAUUACCCUCUUUCCAGGCUGACCGGUGAGGUGUCCUAGUACUGAGUGGUUGCUUUUCCCAUUGACUGAAUUUCAGAUAGCGAACCUGAUGAGAGAAUGCAGCAGGAAGCAGAUGAGCGACUGAGCCCCACCUGAGCCCUGACCCAGUCACCUCCCACC